AGGGAUCAUUACCGAGUUUACAACUCCCAAACCCAAUGUGAACGUUACCAAACUGUUGCCUCGGCGGGAUCUCUGCCCCGGGUGCGUCGCAGCCCCGGACCAAGGCGCCCGCCGGAGGACCAACCAAAACUCUUAUUGUAUACCCCCUCGCGGGUUUUUUUAUAAUCUGAGCCUUCUCGGCGCCUCUCGUAGGCGUUUCGAAAAUGAAUCAAAACUUUCAACAACGGAUCUCUUGGUUCUGGCAUCGAUGAAGAACGCAGCGAAAUGCGAUAAGUAAUGUGAAUUGCAGAAUUCAGUGAAUCAUCGAAUCUUUGAACGCACAUUGCGCCCGCCAGUAUUCUGGCGGGCAUGCCUGUCCGAGCGUCAUUUCAACCCUCGAACCCCUCCGGGGGGUCGGCGUUGGGGAUCGGCCCUCCCUUAGCGGGGUGGCCGUCUCCGAAAUACAGUGGCGGUCUCGCCGCAGCCUCUCCUGCGCAGUAGUUUGCACACUCGCAUCGGGAGCGCGGCGCGUCCACAGCCGUUAAACACCCAACUUCUGAAAUGUUGACCUCGGAUCAGGUAGGAAUACCCGCUGAACUUAA
rnacentral:rRNA from 1 species